CCCCUUUUCACAAACGAACUUUGCAUCCCUAUCAAAUCCUUCCACCGAUGAAAUACCCAUUUUACCAUCCCCCCAGGUUUUAUCCGCAUAUACAGCCCCUAAUGAAGACUCCCACAUGGUCCCCCCAAUGCCGACAGUACCACAACAACAACUACCUCCCUUACCGAGUAUCGUACCCUAGUUUAAACUUUGUCCCCAUGAAUAAUAACUAUGAAUCAUAUAAUAUACCCGUGAGAAUAACCUUGCGUAAUAAUACCUUAAGAGGGAAUGCUGGUG